GGGUCAUUAGUAUAAAGGUGUAUAUUGAAGUUGGGUUUUGAAGGUAUUGGGCUCA
rnacentral:tRNA from 1 species